rnacentral:rRNA from 1 species
AGGACGAACGCUGGCGGCGUGCUUAACACAUGCAAGUCGAACGGUGAUCUUGGAGCUUGCUUCAGGUGAGCAGUGGCGAACGGGUGAGUAACACGUGAGUAACCUGCCCCAGACUCUGGAAUAAGCGCUGGAAACGGCGUCUAAUACCGGAUAUGACACUAAACCGCAUGGUUAUGGUGUGGAAAGUUUUUUCGGCUGGGAUGGACUCGCGGCCUAUCAGCUUGUUGGUGAGGUAAUGGCUCACCAAGGCGAUGACGGGUAGCCGGCCUGAGCGGGCAGUCGACGACACUGGGACUGAGACACGGCCCAGACUCCACGGGAGGCAGCAGUGGGAAUUUGGACAAGUGGACG